rnacentral:RNase_P_RNA from 1 species
UGAGUAAAUCGGAUGAUCGCGUGCUUUAAUGAGCAUGAGGAAAGUCCGUGCUCCAUAGGGCAGGAUGCUGGAUAACGUCCAGUGGGGGCGACCCUAAGGCAAGUGCAACAGAAAUAUACCGCCUAGCCAUUUCUUGCUAGGUAAGGGUGGAAAGGUGAGGUAAGAGCUCACCAGCAGCUAGGCGACUAGCUGGCUCUGUAAACC